rnacentral:rRNA from 2 species
CCUACGGGAGGCUGCAGUGGGGAAUCUUGGACAAUGGGCGCAAGCCUGAUCCAGCCAUGCCGCGUGAGUGAAGAAGGCCUUCGGGUUGUAAAGCUCUUUUGUCAGGGACGAUAAUGACGGUACCUGAAGAAUAAGCCCCGGCAAACUUCGUGCCAGCAGCCGCGGUAAUACGAAGGGGGCUAGCGUUGUUCGGAAUUACUGGGCGUAAAGCGCACGUAGGCUGACAUUUAAGUCAGGGGUGAAAUCCCGAGGCUCAACCUCGGAACUGCCCUUGAUACUGGGUGUCUCGAGUCCGGAAGAGGUUAGUGGAAUUCCCAGUGUAGAGGUGAAAUUCGUAGAUAUUGGGAAGAACACCAGUGGCGAAGGCGGCUAACUGGUCCGGUACUGACGCUGAGGUGCGAAAGCGUGGGGAGCAAACAGGAUUAGAUACCCCGGUAGUC